GGGGGACCUUCGGGCCUCUUGCCAUCGGAUGUGCCCAGAUGGGAUUAGCUAGUAGGUGGGGUAACGGCUCACCUAGGCGACGAUCCCUAGCUGGUCUGAGAGGAUGACCAGCCACACUGGAACUGAGACACGGUCCAGACUCCUACGGGAGGCAGCAGUGGGGAAUAUUGCACAAUGGGCGCAAGCCUGAUGCAGCCAUGCCGCGUGUAUGAAGAAGGCCUUCGGGUUGUAAAGUACUUUCAGCGGGGAGGAAGGGAGUAAAGUUAAUACCUUUGCUCAUUGACGUUACCCGCAGAAGAAGCACCGGCUAACUCCGUGCCAGCAGCCGCGGUAUUACGGAGGGUGCAAGCGUUAAUCGGAGGUGGUGGGCGUAAACCGCCCGCCGGCGGUUUGUUAAGUCAGAAAAAAAAUCCCCCCUUACUUAA
rnacentral:rRNA from 1 species